UACGUAGGGGGCUAGCGUUGUCCGGAUUUAUUGGGCGUAAAGAGCGUGUAGGCGGCCAGGUAGGUCUGCUGUGAAAACUCGAGGCUCAACCUCGAGACGUCGGCGGAAACCAUCUGGCUAGAGUCCGGAAGAGGAGAGUGGAAUUCCUGGUGUAGCGGUGAAAUGCGCAGAUAUCAGGAAGAACACCAGUGGCGAAGGCGGCUCUCUGGGACGGUACUGACGCUGAGACGCGAAAGCGUGGGGAGCGAACAGG
rnacentral:rRNA from 1 species